rnacentral:rRNA from 1 species
UGCAGUCGAGCGGACCGACGGGAGCUUGCUCCCUUAGGUCAGCGGCGGACGGGUGAAAACGCGUGGGUAACCUGCCUGUAAGACUGGGAUAACUCCGGGAAACCGGGGCUAAUACCGGAUGCUUGAUUGAACCGCAUGGUUCAAUCAUAAAAGGUGGCUUUUAGCUACCACUUGCAGAUGGACCCGCGGCGCAUUAGCUAGUUGGUGAGGUAACGGCUCACCAAGGCGACGAUGCGUAGCCGACCUGAGAGGGUGAUCGGCCACACUGGGACUGAGACACGGCCCAGACUCCUACGGGAGGCAGCAGUAGGGAAUCUUCCGCAAUGGACGAAAGUCUGACGGAGCAACGCCGCGUGAGUGAUGAAGGUUUUCGGAUCGUAAAACUCUGUUGUUAGGGAAGAACAAGUACCGUUCGAAUAGGGCGGUACCUUGACGGUACCUAACCAGAAAGCCACGGCUAACUACGUGCCAGCAGCCGCGGUAAUACGUAGGUGGCAAGCGUUGUCCGGAAUUAUUGGGCGUAAAGCGCGCGCAGGCGGUUUCUUAAGUCUGAUGUGAAAGCCCCCGGCUCAACCGGGGAGGGUCAUUGGAAACUGGGGAACUUGAGUGCAGAAGAGGAGAGUGGAAUUCCACGUGUAGCGGUGAAAUGCGUAGAGAUGUGGAGGAACACCAGUGGCGAAGGCGACUCUCUGGUCUGUAACUGACGCUGAGGCGCGAAAGCGUGGGGAGCGAACAGGAUUAGAUACCCUGGUAGUCCACGCCGUAAACGAUGAGUGCUAAGUGUUAGAGGGUUUCCGCCCUUUAGUGCUGCAGCAAACGCAUUAAGCACUCCGCCUGGGGGAGUACGGGUCGCAAGACUGAAACUCAAAAGGAAUUGACGGGGGGCCCGCACAA